rnacentral:rRNA from 1 species
UGAGGAAUAUUGGUCAAUGGGCGGAAGCCUGAACCAGCCAUGCCGCGUGCAGGACGACGGCCCUACGGGUUGUAAACUGCUUUUCCGGGGGAAGAAUAACCCCCCUGCGGGGGGGGAUGCCGGUACCCCGGGAAUAAGGAUCGGCUAACUCCGUGCCAGCAGCCGCGGUAAUACGGAGGAUCCUAGCGUUAUCCGGAUUUACUGGGUUUAAAGGGUGCGUAGGCGGGCGCUUAAGUCCGCGGUGAAAGUCUGCGGCUCAACCGUAGGAUUGCCGUGGAUACUGGGGGUCUUGGAUUCGGUCGGGGCGGGCGGAAUGCGUGGUGUAGCGGUGAAAUGCAUAGAUAUCACGCAGAACGCCGAUAGCGAAGGCAGCUCGCCGGGCCGACAUCGACGCUGAGGCACGAAAGCGUGGGGAUCAAACA